rnacentral:rRNA from 1 species
GACGAACGCUGGCGGCGUGCUUAAUACAUGCAAGUCGAACGGACAGGUCCUGCUCUUGUGGGGUGCUCGAGUGGCGAACGGGUGAGUAACACGCGAGUAACCUGCCCUUGACUUUGGGGUAACUUCAGGAAACUGGGGCUAAUAUCGGAUAGGAGAUACUGCUGCAUGGUGGGGGUUGGAAAGAUUCGGCGGUUGGGGAUGGACUAGCGGCAUAUCAGCUUGAUGGUGGGGUAGUGGCUUUCCAAGGCUUUGACGGGUAGCCGGCCUGAGAGGGUGACCGGCCACAUUGUGACUGAGAUACGGCCCAGACUCCUACGGGAGGCAGCGGUGGGGAAUAGUGCACGAAGGGCGGAGGCCUGAAGCAGCAACGCCGCAUGCGGGAUGACGGCCUUCGGGUUGGAAACCGCGUUCACCUGUGACGAAGCGUGAGUGACGGUAAUAGGUAGAGAAGCACCGGCUAACUACGU